rnacentral:rRNA from 1 species
UCUGGUCAUCCGGUUGUUCCGCCAGGAGCAUUGCCGGGUAGCUACGUCUAGAACGGAUAACCGCUGAAAGCAUCUAAGCGGGAAGCCUCCUUCGAGACGAGAUCUCCCUGAGGACUUGAUCCUCCUGAAGUGCCGUUGAAGACGACGACGUUGAUAGGCUGGGUGUGUAAGCGCUGUGAGGCGCUGAGCUAACCAGUACUAAUUGCACGUGAGGCUUGACCAUAUAAUCAUGGGUUU